rnacentral:rRNA from 1 species
AUUGAACGCUGGCGGCAGGCUUAACACAUGCAAGUCGAGCGGGGUGAUGGUGCUUGCACUAUCACUUAGCGGCGGACGGGUGAGUAAUGCUUAGGAAUCUGCCUAUUAGUGGGGGACAACAUCUCGAAAGGGAUGCUAAUACCGCAUACGUCCUACGGGAGAAAGCAGGGGAUCACUUGUGACCUUGCGCUAAUAGAUGAGCCUAAGUCGGAUUAGCUAGUUGGUGGGGUAAAGGCCUACCAAGGCGACGAUGUGUAGCGGGUCUGAGAGGAUGAUCCGCCACACUGGGACUGAGACACGGCCCAGACUACAACGGGAGGCAGCAGUGGGGAAUAUUGGACAAUGGGGGGAACCCUGAUCCAGCCAUGCCGCGUGUGUGAAGAAGGCCUUAUGGUUGUAAAGCACUUUAAGCGAGGAGGAGGCUCUUUUGGUUAAUACCCAAGAUGAGUGGACGUUACUAGCAGAAUAAGCACCGGCUAACUCUGUGCCAGCAGCCGCCGUAA